rnacentral:rRNA from 1 species
GAUGAACGCUGGCGGCGUGCCUAAUACAUGCAAGUCGAGCGAACAGACGAGGAGCUUGCUCCUCUGACGUUAGCGGCGGACGGGUGAGUAACACGUGGAUAACCUACCUAUAAGACUGGGAUAACUUCGGGAAACCGGAGCUAAUACCGGAUAAUAUAUUGAACCGCAUGGUUCAAUAGUGAAAGACGGUUUUGCUGUCACUUAUAGACGGAUCCGCGCCGGAUUAGCUAGUUGGUAAGGUAACGGCUUACCAAGGCGACGAUGCGUAGCCGACCUGAGAGGGUGAUCGGCCACACUGGAACUGAGACACGGUCCAGACUCCUACGGGAGGCAGCAGUAGGGAAUCUUCCGCAAUGGGCGAAAGCCUGACGGAGCAACGCCGCGUGAGUGAUGAAGGUCUUCGGAUCGUAAAACUCCGUUAUUAGGGAAGAACAAAUGUGUAAGUAACUAUGCACGUCUUGACGGUACCUAAUCAGAAAGCCACGGCUAACUACGUG